UACGGAGGAUGCAAGCGUUAUCCGGAAUUAUUGGGCGUAAAGCGUCCGUAGGUGGUUUAUCAAGUCUGCUGUCAAAGCGUGCGGCUUAACCGCAUAAGGGCAGUGGAAACUGAUGAACUAGAGUGCGAUAGGGGUAACAGGAAUUCCCAGUGUAGCGGUGAAAUGCGUAGAUAUCAGGAAGAACACCCGUGGCUAAGGCGGCUCUCUAGUACGUGACUGACGCUUAGACGCGAAAGCGUGGGGAGCGAACAGG
rnacentral:rRNA from 1 species